GUUUAUGAACAAGUAGAUGUUUGACGCUCUCUUUUGAUAUCCUCAUUUAAUGUUUUUGGAACAUUGUUCGCAAAUUUCGGCAGAUUGAACUUAAAGCCAUGUUUGUUAUCGGAAGUUGUUGCUGUUGUUCCCUACGGACGGGCUGCAUCAUUAUCGGUUUUGUUUUAUUAAUAUUGACUAUAUCAAGUAUAACAUAUAAUGCAUUAGACAACUCAGAUGCUGACGGGAGCCGGGGUGCAUUCGGAAUUCUUUCAAUUAUUCUCGCAGUUAUAACAAUAAUAGUGAUAAUCGGUUUCAUAGUAUGCGUAUUUGCGGAAUAUCGCAGCCUCGCCCUUCUUUUGAUGAUUGCAUUUAUAGGAAUACAAGUAAUAUCGACGGUGAUAUAUAUUUUUAGUGUUACAAUAACAUGGAUGCUAAUUAUAUCGACUGUGAUUUUGUUCGUGAUCUUUUUAUAUUUUUUAUUGGUGGUUUAUUCAUAUGCAUACGAAGAAGAAGAGUACGAUGCAUAGUAACCAUGGACAAAUGAACAAUAGUACAAAUUAUUCCACGUAUUCAAAAUUGCAAAAUGGUGUAUGGUCAGAUAUAUUAUAUAAUAACAAAUGAAAACAUUGUUUUCUCAGCGAA